UCAAAAAGAAAAAAUAUUACUAUUUUUAGAGUAUAAGUUUUGUGAUCAAAAGAAUGAAAAUUACAAAAAAAAAAAAAUAGGAUUUAAUUUUGUUUAGCUAGUCAUUUUCUUGUAAAUAGUAUAUUUUUCUCUAUCUACGAGUAGUUAUUAAGUAUUUCUUAUUUUUGCAUUUAAAUAAAAAGAUAAAUAAAAAAAGAUGACAAAAAGGGAGAAAAGUGGCAAAUGGGAUUAUACCACCUCACCACAAAAUGACAAAGUUUCAUAACAAAUCUUAUCACAAAAGGGGGAGAGGGUCACGUUUUUUUGGACAAAUAUUAUUGUUGGGGGUGGAACCCACACAAUUAAAAAAAAAGGAAAAAGAAAAGAAAGGAAAAACGGGGAUAGGCACAGAUGUAGAGAAAGAGAAACGGAUAGAUCCCAAAGAUAAGAAAAAACAUCAUCUUCUUCAUUCUGUUUUUUUACUACUCACCGGAAACACCACUACACCCACCACUUCCACCGUGACCCAUUGUCCCACCAUCCCUUUCCACCGUCUCCACCAAAACCCGUUACUACUCCUAUUCACGCCACUAUCCAUACACCUACAAAACCCCAUCGAUAAUCAUCAGAAAAAUCACAAAAAACAGCCACAAACUCAUAGAAAACUCUAUUACAACACCACAUUCAACCUUAGUGUUCUAUUGAAAUAGCUUUUGACGGAAGUCUUGUUUCUAUAUCGAAGCCUUCUUAUCGUCAGUUGGGUUUUCCGUCGAGGUCUCUGCUUGAGAUUUAAGAUCAGGUCGGUGGUUUUGUUAGAGGUACAAAGGCGUGAAUUUUUCCUUGUUUCAACGAGAUUCUCGAUUUGAAGUGGAUUUCGUUGCUUUAAGGGAGGGGUUGAUUUCGAAUUGAAUGAACUUGGUUUUAUGCAUUGAGAUAGAUUAGGGUACAAUUUUUUUUAAAAGUUUAUUAUUUCAUUCGUUUGGGGGUAGGCAAAUACAUAGGUCCGUUUGAUUACUUGCUUGCUUUGAAUUGCUUGUUUUUGUUUUGAUUUUCAAAGUUAUGUAUUCAUUCCCGGGUGGGAUGUCCCGGAAGAAAUUAAUGUACAAAUGGAGGCCGUUCCCGGAGAAGACCCCAGGAUGUCGGGGAUAGCUUAGAAUAGGAUAGCAUAGGAUAGUAUAGGUUUAUUUUAUCGCAGUUUUCUUUUAUUUUGGGUUAUAAUAAUUUGGACAUUAUAUUUGAGUUUUCUCGUCUGUGCGCUUAUUUGUUUUAUGUGGGUUUAUGUGAUUUAGUUUCUACUUAAGCCGAUACGAGUUAAUUAAAGCGACCGUGCUAAAACCACGGGACUCGAGGGAUGCCUCACACCUUCCCCUCGAUCAACAGAAUUCCUUAACCGGAAUCUCUAUCGCUAAUCAGUUUUAGAGUCAAACAUGUUUUGAAAGGAAUAUUGAUUUUACGGUGACUUGGUACACCAAAACUCGAUACCAGGUGGCGACUCUUUUUCUCAAAAUAAAAUCCCUUUUUGAAACACAAUUUUCGUCACUUUCGAUUUGAAAAUCCUUUUGAACUUAACAUAAUAAAUCAUUAUUUUGUGGAAAAAAGGGGGGUGACAGCUCUGGCGACUCUGCUGGGGACUUUUAGAAUUCAAGCUUGUCAAAAAUGACUUGUAUUGGCUUAGUUAGAAAAUCUUGGGUAAAUGUUUCGUUUGGUUAAUCAUUUUUGCUUUAUUUGCUAUUUUCCUGAGUUUAUUUGUUUAUCGCAUUUUCAUUGUCUGUUACCGCUUUAUAUCUGGCAUCAUUUGCAUAACCCCCCAAUUCUUUCUGUAACAAGUUUCGGAGUACGUUGUAAGCGUACACAACCUUUUCGAGAGUCAUCCAAAUUUUUAGGGAGGGGGCAUUUCAAGCAUGGAGUAGGCGGAAAACAAAGCAGUCGCUAUCGACCACGUGCCUCCUCGAACAACCUUGUUAGCGAGCCCCAACCUAGGUCAGCCUUUAGGACACUAUUAUUUGGACCUAGCAGGACUCGAUCCUUGAUAUCGUGUUCCUUUGUAGGAGAAUUGUCCCAAAGUAAUGUCAAAACUGGGCUCGCAGCCCAAAAAGGCAUGAAUCAACACUAUGUGCUAUUUGUUGCAUUUUGAGGGUAAAAAUGUCAUUUGGCGGACUGAUUUGGGGAGGAGUGUUUGAAAAGAAAAUGAGAAUAUUAGAGAGUGUUAGUAGGUGUUGAAAAGGAUUUGUAGCUUUAGGAGUCUUAGUGUCUUCUUUUUUUUAAAAAAAAAAAAUCCCCUUCUUUCAAAAAAAAAAAAAAAAAAACAAACAAAACAAAAA